ACUUCAUGAUGAACUUAAAAAAUGACAAGCAUAUGGCUGAGCCUUAGUGAUGUCAAUUAGACUGCUGAAGAAGU